rnacentral:rRNA from 1 species
GUAGGUGGCAAGCGUUGUCCGGAAUUAUUGGGCGUAAAGCGCGCGCAGGUGGUUCUUUAAGUCUGAUGUGAAAGCCCCCGGGCUCAACCGGGGAGGGGUCAUUGGAAACUGGGGAACUUGAUGCAGGAGAGGAAAGUGGAAUUCCACGUGUAGCGGUGAAAUGCGUAGAUAUGUGGAGGAACACCAGUGGCGAAGGCGACUUUCUGGCCUGUAACUGACACUGAGGCGCGAAAGCGUGGGGAGCAAACAGGAUUAGAUACCCUGGUAGUCCACGCCGUAAACGAUGAGUGCUAAGUGUUGGGGGGGUUUCCGCCCCCUCAGUGCUGCAGCUAACGCAUUAAGCACUCCGCCUGGGGAGUACGGUCGCAAAGACUG